rnacentral:rRNA from 1 species
UAACUUCGGUUAUAAGAUCCCUCAAAGAUGAUGAGGUUAAUAGGUUCGAGGUGGAAGCAUGGUGACAUGUGGAGCUGACGAAUACUAAUCGAUCGAAGACUUAAUCAA